UGCACACGAUUUGAACUGAUCGUUCAUUGGAAAGAUCGACAUCAACAUUUGACAAUUUUUGAAUUUUCGAAACGAGUCUAUGCAAGACCGCGCAAUGUUUAGAAAGUAAGAACGUGGUCAAACUGACGGGUAGGCUAUUGUCAGGCGCAACCUUGUCCGUUGCCACGAUUCGGGCUAGAUCAAGGUUGGAACGUGCAAGUUCGAUCGCUUUCUCGCGAGAUAUCCUCGAUACAUUUCCUCGAAGAGAUGAAAACGUCAUAAACAUCGAUAUAUCUCGGUUUCUCUGGUGUUUUGCGUAAGGGACAAACACCGUUUGUGACCACCGAUGUUUGAUACACCCACAGAGGUAUAACGUACCCGCGAGACUUUCUCUCGACAAGGAGAGCACUCGUCGAGCGCCCCUUUGCCGCGCAACCACGCGAACGAACGCAGGGAACAAUGUGUCUUCUCGGCGCAAUAAGAGUACAGAGGCUCGUUCCCUGAUCGAGGCUGGGUGGACCCCGUGCGCCGAGCCAACUAAACGCGGCGUUACGAUUGGAUGAUGGAUGAAUUAACCGUGGUCGAUUACCAUUCAACUUGGCGCCUACUAUAUCCGCUGCACCUCGGACCUUCUGCGUACAAAUCGAAGGCUAAAUACGGCCGGCCAUUGACUGUGCACGCGUGCACAGGUGUGUGAGUCCGUGAUACCUGAAAUUACGACCGUAAAAAUCCUACGGCCAGAAGCACGGAUUUCGAACGGUUCGUUGGCCCUUUGUUUUCGAGUAUCGAUUGUGGCUGGUUUGAGUUUGUGGUUAAAUAUACUGUUGCGUGAAUUUGUAGUAUUCACUCGUUCAAACUAUGGAGUAACAACGAGGAACUUUUUUCUGCUGUUUGGAAAAAUUGUCUCUUGGACGACACGUUUUCACUGCUGCGUUUCAAAAAUCAGAUAGACAAAUAGCACAGGUAAAAUUGUGAAUAUUUCUU